CUCCUUACGGGAGGCAGCAGUGGGGCAUUUGGGACACUGCGCGCGAGCGUGAUCCAGCAAUGCCGCGUGAGUGAAGAAGCCAUUCGGGGUGUAAAGCUCUUUUUUCAGGGAAGAAACGGUAGAGUCUAAUAUCCUAUGCUAAUGACGGUACGAGAAGAAUAAGCACGGGCUAACUACGUCCCAGCAGCCGCGGUAAUACGUAGGGCGCAAGCGUUAAUGGGAUUUUCUGGGUGUAAAGCGUGUGCAGGCGGUUUUGUAUGUCUGACGUGAAAUCCCCGGUCUCACCCUGGGAAUCGCGUUGGAGACUGCAAGUCUAGAAUCUGGCAGAGGGGGGUAGAAUUCCACGUGUAGCAGUGAAAUGUGUAGAGAUGGGGAGGAACCCCGAUGGAGAAGGCUGCCCCCUGGGUCAAGAUUCACGCUCAUGCACGAAAGCGUGGGGAGCAAACAGGAUUAGAUACCAGGGUAGUCCACGCCCUAAACGAUGUCUAGUAGUAGUCGGGUUCUAAUUCACUUGGUAACGCAGCUAACGCGUGAAGUAGACCGCGUGGGAUUGU
rnacentral:rRNA from 1 species